UUCUUUUUGAGAAAGUGGUAAGUUGUUUAGUGUGGUUUUACUACUUGUAACAAUGUUAAAGUAGGACUGUGUACAAAUGUACAUAACAGCGUAAGACUUGAAUUCAGUCUAAGGCACUUUAAACAAUGUCGAGUAAGGUUUUCGCAUGCCAGCAAGCAAAUGUUUGGAACAGUGCUAAUGUCCUUGUUGCAGGGUUUUCACUGGUACAGCUUAGUGGCUUGUGUUGGUUGACUGCAGCUACAGUUUGUUUUUUGUGUUUAGAAAGGUCUGAUUUGUCACGAUGCUGCGCAGGCAUGGGAAGUUUUCAUAGGUCUGAUGUUGGAUAGAAUUCGCUGCAGUCAAGUGUUGUCGGUGGACUUGCCAUGGUCUGGAGUUGUUUGGCUUGUUGUAGUUCAGGAUGGCACUUUGAAAACUGGAGUGUGCAGGGUUUUGAGGGAGGACUCCAUCUUGUUUCCCCCCUCUCCUCCCUUCUUCCUUUCGGGUAGAGUCGAUGGCGGAUCGGGUGAGAGGCGCCAAGAUGAACUGGACCAGGGUAAUAAGGACAUGCACAGACAAAUCAAUAAAUGACCGUCACAACUAAUAGCCCCCCCCUCCCUAUGGAUGAGUUUGAAAAGCACAAAAACCCAGAGAGUUGAAGUAAUCAUUGUUCAUGGAACGCAUGUCCCACAAGAUGCACGCAACCCUGUUACUGUAUCCUUUUUCGCACGGUAGAAGAAGAAAGCGGUGACUCACGAUACGCUGGACUUGACAUCAGUUUUCCAAAAGAAUGGGUAGAACAAAGAAUUUGCAUCGAGAUUGAAGGGACGACCUGCGAUAUGGAAACGCAUGGAGCUCAUUCUGAAGGAAAAUGGAGGU